CCGUAGGUGAACCUGCGGAGGGAUCAUUACACAAAUAUGAAGGCGGGCUGGAACCUCUCGGGGUUACAGCCUUGCUGAAUUAUUCACCCUUGUCUUUUGCGUACUUCUUGUUUCCUUGGUGGGUUCGCCCACCACUAGGACAAACAUAAACCUUUUGUAAUUGCAAUCAGCGUCAGUAACAAAUUAAUAAUUACAACUUUCAACAACGGAUCUCUUGGUUCUGGCAUCGAUGAAGAACGCAGCGAAAUGCGAUAAGUAGUGUGAAUUGCAGAAUUCAGUGAAUCAUCGAAUCUUUGAACGCACAUUGCGCCCUUUGGUAUUCCAAAGGGCAUGCCUGUUCGAGCGUCAUUUGUACCCUCAAGCUUUGCUUGGUGUUGGGCGUCUUGUCUCUAGCUUUGCUGGAGACUCGCCUUAAAGUAAUUGGCAGCCGGCCUACUGGUUUCGGAGCGCAGCACAAGUCGCACUCUCUAUCAGCAAAGGUCUAGCAUCCAUUAAGCCUUUUUUCAACUUUGACCU
rnacentral:rRNA from 1 species